UGGGGAAUCUUGGACAAUGGGGGCAACCCUGAUCCAGCCAUGCCGCGUGAGUGAUGAAGGCCUUAGGGUCGUAAAGCUCUUUCGCCUGUGAAGAUAAUGACGGUAGCAGGUAAAGAAACCCCGGCUAACUCCGUGCCAGCAGCCGCGGUAAUACGGAGGGGGUUAGCGUUGUUCGGAAUUACUGGGCGUAAAGCGCACGUAGGCGGACCAGAAAGUUGGGGGUGAAAUCCCGGGGGCUCAACCCCGGAAACUGCCUCCAAAACUAUUGGUCUAGAGUUCGAGAGAGGUGAGUGGAAUUCCAAAGUGUAGAGGUGAAAUUCGUAGAUAAUUUGGAGGAACACCAGUGGCGAAAGGCGGCUCACUGGCUCGAUACUGACGCUGAGGUGCGAAAAGUGUGGGGAGCAAAACAGGAUUAGAAUACCCUGGUAGUCCACACCGUAAAACGAUGAAUGCCAGUCGUCGGGUAGCAUGCUAUUCGGUGACACACCUAAC
rnacentral:rRNA from 1 species